AUUUUCGUCCAGACAAUAUAUCCACUCCCCAAUUUUCUCUCCUCCCUCUCUCCCCCUUGCCCUUUAAAAAAAAAGACCAAUAAAAUUUUGAGAGAGAGAGAGAAUAAUUUUAGAGAGAUAAACAGAAAGAAAUGGACGGUAGCAGCAGCGGAGGCGGAAACGGUUACAGAGUAGAAGCAGAGCGGUGGUUAACUAUAUCAGAGAAACUCUUAGCAGCACGUGACUUGCACGGGGCUAAGAGCUUCGCGAUCCGAGCCCGAGAAUCCGACCCGAGACUCUACGAAUUCUCCGAUCAAAUCAUCGCCGUUGCCGACACUCUCCUCGCCGGAGAGUUACGCGUCGAGAACAAUCACCACUAUGAUUACUAUAUGAUUCUCCAACUCGGUCGCUUGACCCAGGAUCUCGAACUCAUUGCGGAUCAGUAUCGGAAGCUCGCCUUGUUGCUCAACCCGACGAGGAACCGGCUGCUCUUCGCUGAUCAGGCGUUCAAGCUUGUGUCGGAGGCCUGGCUCGUGCUUUCGAAUCCUGCUAAGAAGGCAAUGUAUGAUCAUGAGUUGCAACUGAGUCAGCUCGGUCUUCUCGUGACUCAGCAACCGCCACCUCCACCAUUUCAACAGCAACCGCCGUCUAAUCCUGAGCCGAUUCGGCCUGUUCCGCAGUUCAGUAUGCCAUGGAUGCCUGAGUCGUCAAUUCGGUUCCCCUCUCAGACCAAACCCGCCGAGUCACCUCGUUCACAGACUCAGCAGAGAAAUCCCGAGCCAACUUGGCGACAGCCUCAGCAGAAACCAAUCGAACCGCCUAAGCAGCCUACCCCGCUGAAGGCCGCCACUGAGCUAAAUAAGCAGCCAACCCCGUCUAAGGCUCCCAUUGAGCCAACUCGGCAGCCUACCCCGCUGAAGGCCGCCACUGAGCUAAAUAAGCUGUCAACCCCGUCUAAGGCUCCCAGUGAGCCUACGCCGCUGAAGUCUUCCACUGAGCCAAAUAAGCAGUCAACUCUGUCUAAGAUUCCCACUGAGCCAACUCGGCCAGAGGUUGUGAUUGGGUUAUCUCGAUCAGCGCCAAAACCGAGUGCCACUGAUUCGAGGCAAGCGAUGAAGCACACAACCACCUUCACCGCUGCUGCUGCAACUGGGACAAAGCAUGCGAAUGCGAGUGAGCCAGAGUUAUCGAGUUUUUGGACUGCGUGUCCUUAUUGUUAUAUACUUUACGAGUAUCCUAAAGCUUAUGAGGAGUGUAUUCUAAGGUGUCAAAGUUGUAGAAGGGCAUUUCAUGCUGUCAUGGUACCAGCACCACCGGUGACUGAUAAAGAUACAUACUUUUGCUGCUGGGGUUUUGUUCCGUUGGGGUUUUCAGGUAAUAAUGAGAAAGGAGGUAAUGAGUUUGGUAGUAAUUGGUCUCCGUUUUCUGCAAUGUUUUCCGCUCCUUUCCCAGCUGGUGGUGCUGUUGGUAGUGGUGGUCAAAUGUAUAAUAAACUGAAGCAAAAGGUGAUUUAUAAAGAUGAUGUGUAUAUAGAUAUCUCUGACACAAGUGAAGAUGAGUCUGAUUCUGGUGAUGAGUGGGGUGUAAAAAAGAGAAAGAAAGCAAAAAAUGCAAAGGGGAAAGGAACUCCGAAUAAACAUGCGAAAAAAUCACAAAAUGAAAGAUUGAAGAAGGGGGUAGGAGCAGGGGCUGGAACAGAAAAUAUUCAAAAUGAGGACGGUGAUGGUGGGGGUAGUGUGCCAGAGGAGGUGGUGGAAAAGGGGGAAGGGAGUUGUGGCAAAAGGAAGGCAGCAAAAGAUUUGGGAAAGUUGGAUUUGAAUGUGAUGUUUAGUAAUGAGGUGGAUGAGGCUGCACCUGGACCAAGUCAAAGGAAUGGGCCUGGGCAUGGGGAGGAGGAUAAUAUUGAAGGGAUUGGGUUUUUUGAGGGUCUUGAUGAGUUUUUAAGUACCUUGCCCAUACUUUCGGUUGUAGGGGAUGAUAAGGUGAAGGCUACUUAGCGAUAUUUCCAUGGUUACCCUUCCCGAUAGUUGCGUGAUGAACUAAAGGAAGGCCUGUAGAGAUAGACUGCACUGCAGCAGCUGAGCGUUCCAGUUGCUAAUUGCAGAGCCCUCACCCGUGUUCAUAUCAGCCCUGUUGACCAGCUCCUCAGCAGUGUAUGAUGAUGCUCAAGGAAUAUUUUGUGAGAUGAUGGAAAUGAGUUUAUAAGUGAUGUAGCCCCCUGCAGCCCUUUUUCGUGAGAAGUGGCCGUGGACUCAUUUGGGCUAUCCAGGUAUCAUCUGCUGCUCUCACUCCCAGACAUGAGGUUUCCCUGUGAAGACAGUGCACGUGCAAUUCAUAAACGCACGACCGAAUAAGCUUUAUUGUCCAUUGAUGACAGUUAACUUCUCCAAAAUAUAGUUUCUGUGCCAUUAAUCCACCUUUUAGUUUCCCUAAGAUGCAUCUUCUUCCUCUGCUGAGUAUCAAUUAGUCUUAUCCUUCCCUUGUUGUGAUUGCUCAAACAUCCUUACCCUCAUUUUGUUUAGUGCUACUCAUCAAGCAGCUGGGUUUACGUUUUGCCACUGACAGAACUUAAUAUACACAUUGCUCUCUGUGUAUGCUGCUA